UACAGAGAAGCAGCAUCAGAAGAAGUGUUUUCGACAUAAAUGUGACUUGAAGAAGUGCUUACAUUUCAAGCCGUCCCACAUAUUCCACUUUUGUUGGGAGAAAAUACUGUGAAAACUGCGCGUGAACUAAGAGAACCAAUGUAAUGGUGUUUCUUCAGUUCAGAUGUUCAACAUGUUUGAAUUAUUUUUUCGAUAUCGUUCUCUCUGUAAUGAUCGUUCGACUUUUUGACCUAUGAAAAUAUUUGAAAACUUAAAAUACUUGCUGUAUACACAGAGAAGACGUGUUUAUGUCACAUGUAAUUAUUUUUAAAUUGGAGACGCCAUAUAGCACUUAAAAUUCCCAAGAUUUACAACGCUGUCCGGAACAGAAACUGCAAAGAGAGAACGUUAAAACUUUCAAAUUUUAAUGAAAAUGAAGCUGGUAUUUUUAUUAUGUCAACUACUUCUGUACUUACAAGGUGUUUGGUCAAGCUGGGAAGAUUGGUGGACUUACGAUGGAAUAUCAGUAUAAGACACCAAGGCUGGAGUUUGGCAUCACCAGGGCCGUCGAGAGCGGCGGCGGGCCCCCAAUGGGAUUCAAGAGCUGAG